UCACAGAGAAGUUGUGGAACCGGUUCGGAGUGUUUAUGUGGGAGGUUUUUCUAAAAUAUAUAUAGCUAAUAGUGCAAUAGGAGUGCUACAAAUCAAUUCUGACAGCAGAGCAGGGCACUCCCUGGAAUGAAAAAGACAAACAACCAGAGGGGAGGAGGGAGAAGAGAGAAAGCCUGUGUCUCUGUGUGCAUGUGAGCGAGAGAGACAGGCUUCCUGGAAGUAAGUGACCUCACCCGAUGGUAACCAUAGAUGGGAUCUACACAUACACGCACAAAUUCCUCCUCAUUCUUUCUCAGUAAUCAGAGCGUUUCUCACUCCAUAAUCAACACUUAAUGAUAGCUUUAAAGUGAUUUUUGUGCGACAUGUAUUGGGUGACUGAUCCAAUAAUUCAGUGGCUUCUCCAGUAUCUCCCUAUCUGCUAUCUGUGUGUAUUUAUGAAGCCAUUACUUAUAAUCACAGAUCACCUAUAAUCGCUGACCGCUCGGUGUACGUCGCUGCAAUUUCUUCCGCCAUGGCAUUUUUCUUCUCUCUGCCAAAUCCCAGGAUGAUUAUCUGUCAUUACAGCCCGAUUUCCAAAGAAUGCAUCAGUGUAGAUACAGCAGCAGAGAGGCGGAGCGAUGAAGGAGAAGAGGCGAGAGGCCCAAUUAGUCAUUGAGGUCAUGGAAACGUGCCUUCUUGUUGUUUAUUGAACAAAAGGAGGGAGGAAGAGGGUGAAUCGCUCUGUCUCUGCGUCUCACUUUCCAAGACGACUCUGCCAGGUGACAGCAGUGCUGCAGGCCGAUCAGAAGUCUGGGCUUUAGGUGUCAGGUCAAAGGUCAAGAUGUUAGGCGAUCAAUGAGUAGGCACAUGUACAUACUGUAUCUAGAGCUUUUCUCUCUAAACGUGCACAGUCUGAACUCCCGACAGAUGCCUCAUUGACUCAUUAAAUGGUAUCAAUGCAGAUGUGACUGAACAGGUGGUCCUGGCCCGCUAAACGAGGAUUAAGAAGCAAGAUUUGUGUGUGUGUGUGUGUGGGGUUGAGUGUGUGUCUCAGCGGUAAUGCAACCUUGUCCUCAGCUCAAGCCAUGGCAGGAAAACAGAUCUGCUGAAAAGAAUUGGAGGAAGUACACAAUACACUCCCUACAGACACACACACACACACACACACACACACACACACAAAGACAUGGUGUGAGAGGAUUAUAGAUACACACAGUACAUCUCCCUACAUAUACACAGGCUGAACACAAGCCAUUUACAAUGCUCUGUAUGCCUGUGACAACUUGAAUCAUCUCGCUUGUCAGUCAGAAACUGAACGUACACACACACACGGACACAUUUAAUGUGAAAACUGCAGUUCCAGCCGUCCAAAGUAGGCCACUGCAGUGCACGUCACUCAAGGGCGUCACACAGCAGGAGAGCUUUCACUGAAAAGUGCUGUGCAAUUACCAGCAAAGAAAUAGCUUCCAUAGCCGUCCACUUUUGUCUUCCUGUGCCGGACCUGCUCCCCAGACACACCGGAGGGUCAUUAUUGGCGCACGAAUGGAGAUGACGCCACCUGCAGCCACUGAAGGCUGAUAUACCCUGCCAGUUACCUCUGCAAGGGAUGGUUGCAUCACCCGGGCGAAUGGGAACAUUACUGGCUAUAUUUACCGUCGCUAAUGGAGGAGAUAUUAGAUGUUCUGUUCUGUGGAAAACUGGCCAAUUUGUGAUGGUUUAUUGUGUUAAGAGUUGGAAAUUUGAAGUACUGAUGGUUAUAUUCAUGCAGUGUAGAAGACUAGUUUAAUUAUUAUAAUGAUUCUGUCGAUUAUUAGUGAAAGUUAUUCAGAUUUGGAUAUUAUAUUUAAAACAUUUUUUCACUUUAAAAACAUGUUUUCAAAAACUUAAUUUUUUUCUUUUGUUAUAUGUUUUAGUCAUGAUACCGGUGUGGCUCUGUGGAUAUUGGUUUGUUGAAUAACUAUUAGAUGGAUUGCCAUGAAAUGUACUACACACAUAGAUUGUUAUUACUUUGGUACUCAUCUGACUUUUCAUGUAGUGCCACCACCAAGUUAGCAUUAAACUAAUAACAUUCCCAUUAGCCUCGGCUUUACUUCAUGUUCGUGCUAAUUAGCAAAUGCUAAACUAAGAUGGUGAACAUUGUAAACACUAUACCUGCUAAACAUCAGCAUGCUAAUAUUGUCACUGUGAACAUGUUGUUGAUGCGUCGCGUGAGCAUGUUAAUGCAAGUGCUGUUUUUUCCAGUUUGGCUUCAUACCCAAGCUUUUCCGACUGCCGAAGAGCGAAGUUAACAAAGAACAACAACAACACAAGAGAAAGCGAAGAAAUAGUGUGAGGGAGGAUAGCAACACCUGCGUUUCUGUGCCUUUGGAAAGUACCCCCUCCUACACACACACACAAUCACACGCGCACACGCACACACACACACACACACUCACUCAAAGUGUUAUGUUCUUUCACUCUCAUCACCAUAGAUACCCAGUAGAAGUUCUCCAAAGGGUCCUCGCAACCCACAAAGUAGCCAAAUCCUUGCCAUUCUGCGUAACCGCCGGCAACAAUACAUACACUUGUUUGGCCGAUUCGUUUUGUAGGUCUCCUUUGUGUAUUAGGAUGAAGAGAGAGAGGAGGGGUGAGGCGGGCUACGGGGGAGUCUGGGAUGUUUUCUAUUCUGGUUUUGGACACUUACUCGGGGCAGCAUGGGCGAAGAUGGAGGGGCACGUCUGAAGCUCAGCCAGAAAGAGGCCUGAAGCAACAGCCAAUGUGCAUGAGUCUCUCUGGUGUCUGUACCUGUGUUGGGUUUGUUUGGGUUGAUAAUCAGAGCCUCCCUGAUCUGUGCUUUUAUUUUUCUCCUUUCUUUUUUUCUCUCUUACUCCAGUCCCAUGUCUUUCUCUCUUUGGCCUGACCUUUAAUCCCCCUAUCCUUCAAUACCCAACUGGCCCAUUGUCCCAGACGCCACACACUGAACACACACACACAUGCACACACACACACGGCCUUGCAGCCUGCUCCAUUGUCCUGCCACUGCUGGCCUAAGUCCUAAUGCUGCAUUGGACUCAUGCCCAUGUAAACAAGCUCCUGUCUGUCUGUCUUUCUGCCUGUCUUUCUGCCUCUUUUUUUGCAUCUAUUCAUGUCACUGUGAUCACUCUUUUCACUUUAUUAUGCCGGUCUCCAUCUCUCCUCCUCUGUCUUUAUGUCCAACUCUUCUCCCACUCCUCUCUCCGUUCAUGCUUCUGUGUUCUCUAAGCUGGGCUGAGCAAUUAGUUAAUGUACCCUCCACCCCAGGGGUGAUUCUGGCACUGCCGACCUACCGAGUGCUUCUCUGUGUCUGCAAGUGUGUGUGUGUGUGUGUGUGUGUGUGUGUGUGUGUGUGGUGUUGGCACUGCCCCUGAGUGGGGUUGCUGGGCUAACGGCGGCCCAUCCAGAGUGUUUUUGGCACUGGCAGCGUUUUGGACGGCCCUCACCUCUUCUCUCUGCACGUCCACUGAACCACAGUAGCCAGCCCUCUGUCUGGGGCUCUAGUAAACAGCCUUUUAAUUACCAUGGGGAAAGACCCAAAUGUCUAAGAGAUCAAUUCAUUCCAGUGAUACACAUUUUUGGCCGGUGCUGAUUGAUUGUGCUGUGUUUUUUUUAAACUAUGUUUGGCCCAUUGUAAAACAUUGUUGCCCAGUCUAAAUGGCCCUCCGUGUGUGAGCAAAUAUUUAAAAUCCAUUUCAAAAACAAAUGUAGGAUCAGACCAGAUUUAUAACUGCAGCCAUAAAGACCAGAGUACACAGCUAGAGAUUUUCUCUUAUUCAGGGAUUAAAAUGUACUUUCAACAGGAGUUACAAACAGACUAUACUGGGUAAAUAACAGCAGAGGGGGAAGAAUUAUUCAAAGCAUGUACUUAACUAAAACUAGCAGUACCAAAGUUAUACUAUUAUAUUAUUAGAUCAUUAUUAUUGAUUUAUUAAUGUGUAAACGGUCCUUAAAUUUUGUCAUUGGUCAAAGUGGAGGUAAUUUUAACUUCUUAAUAAACUUUUGGUAGAUUAAUCUGUAACAACGGAUCAUAUCUUAUAAAGUGGUCUGACUAUAGCUAGUAAAUAAAUGUAGUGGAGUGAAUAUUUCUCUCUGAAGUGUAGUGAAAUUAAAGUAUAAAGAAGCAUAAUUGUAAUAUUGUACUUAAGUAAAUGUAAAUAGUUACUUUCCACCACCAAGUGUUCUGUGUAAACUCUUUAUUUUAAUAUACUUAAAGUGGCCUUGCCAAAUGUCCGUACAUAUGCUAAAUCUUGUUUCAUAGCUCUUGAUUUUCUCAAUAGAUUUUAGAUGUGUAUCAUAUUCUCGUUGUCUACACUGUAGUUAUACCACUGCUACUCCAUACAUCUAUUGCAUGGCUCUUCAUCCUAAAAGAUGGCUCCCUCCUCUUUUGCCCCUCCAGAGGUUUCUCCCUUUGUUCCCCAUUACAGUAUUUCCUCAUCUGCAUCGAGGGUCUAAGUAUAGAGGGCGUCAUAUGCACUGCAUGGUGUAAAGCCUUCUGAGACAAACUUGUGAUUUAGCAAAAUACAUGAAGCAUAGAACUGAGGGCUUUCACAGCCGUUCUUUGACUUAAAUAUUUAAUCUGAGGACAUACAGUAUUAGUACAUGUCUUUCAUUGUGUAUGUCAGCGCUACACAAACACAAUCGCUUCCUUCCUUUACUUGUACCCUUUUAUUUCAGGGUAUAUAAAUGAGUAUGCAUGUGUCCAGAUCAUUUCUCAUUGUGAAUUUGUAGUAGACUGCUUUGUAGACCAUGUGUUUGGUUGCUUUAUUGCUUUUGUGUUUCCUAAUGCAUUGCCUAUCACACCUUUACAAAAGAAAAAGCUAUUCAAAAAUUCCAGUUUCAUCUCAGCCCCGCUUUGGUGCCUUUCAAGCCGUGUUGGCCAUGUGAGGGUGUAAAAGGGCAGGCAGGCACCUCCCUGGACACCUCUGUAGUUUUCUAAAGGCCUUGAAGGACGCCCAGCAUGUAUAUCCACUCAGUACAAACAACAAAGGGAACGGCUGCGUCACAAAGGGACACCAGCAUGGACGAGACGGACCUCAGCGUACCGCAGGGGGCGAGUGGAAAUGCAGAGAUGACCCACUUCCACUGCUCUGUCUGUACGUCUGUCUAAGCACACUUGGAUGAAACAUAGAUAUUUCACAGUGUGUUUGUAUUUGUGUAUCGAGGUGCACAAGAUUGUCGAGACACGCAAAUCCAGACACCGUCAGUCUUCUUCUGGUUAGUGAGAUUCUCUUCUCACCUUUGCAAACCAUUCUGCACUUUUGUAGCUUUUCUGUACACGUACGUGCAUGUGUGCUGCUGAGUGGGUGCUUUACUGCAAAUUUGAAGAUUUGCAAAAACAUUGGUGAACCUCAGCAUCCGUCAAUAUUAAUCAUGAAAAAGACUCUAGAGAGAAAACUAAUAUCAAGUUAUCAUCUCUUUUUUGUUUUGAAAAAUAACAUUGAAACCACAUGCACUACUAACUAAUAUCUAUAGUUACUGACACUCGCAUGAGAAUACUUGCCCUGAAAAUGUGCUAUUGUCCUGUUUUUUUGUUGUUUUUUUACCAAUUUUCAUCUCAUCUUACAUUGAUUAAUUGUACCUUAUUCUAUCAAAGGUUCACACACUCACCUAUAACAAAACAGUCCUUUUCAUUAACAUCAUGUACCUGGUAUUUAUGUACAGGUGUGUGUGUUUCAGUAUGUAUGCAUGGGCAUUUCUGUGUGUAUAUGUAUGACUGUGUGUGUCAAGGUACUUAUGUGUGAUGCAUUUUCUAGGUGGUGUUAGGUAUGAAAAAUCUAAAUAUACUUACUGCAGCCGUCCGAUAGAGCAGAGCAGAAACUGUAUUUGACUCUCUAAUGUACUGGAGCAAAAGUCUCAUAAAAUAGAAAUACUAGUAAAAUAUGAGUACUUCAAAUUUUUAUUUUAGCCCAGUAGCUGAGUUUCUGUCCACCUCUGAGUGCAUUGACCUCCUGCAUAAAAAUAACUAAAUGUCAAAUUUGUGGCUUUAAAAUAACAUAAAAUAUUUACCGUCUCCAUGAGCCCACAUUGUAACAAAAACACUAAGGUAGAUCACCAUAUUGUGCAUGUUUAUGAAUGUACAGCUAGAAUGAGAGUAUGACCCUUGUUACCUUUCAUCCUGCAUACAUGCCUGUCUUUGUGUGUGUGUGUGUGUGUGUGUGUGUUAUCUUCCCCUCCGUCCGUGCCGAUGUAGCAUCUGCUGUGGUCCAGGAGGUGACCAAGAGGUAGCAGCAACCUGAGCCAGGCUGGCUGAUGGCCGUUUCUGUGUCCAUAUGCCCGCUCCGAGGACACACACUCUCCUGGCAGGACACACUCCCACACACUGGAUGCUUCGUUACCUCACAAACACACACACAAACACAAGCGCAAACUGCAGUUGAACACUCACAAACAAACACUCAAGCUUCACCACGUGCGUGGUGCCACAUCAUCCAUGCAGGAGUGUGAAGGAAACGAAAGGGUAGCAGAGGUAACGGUGUGUGCGCUGCCAAAUCACCACAUAAUGGACUGUUCUGGGACCAUCCAACCUGCCGGCCAUAUGGGCUCAACACAUCAGUGGAGCGAUGGGCCCAACACACACAAACAUAACUAACUACCUACAAGCACAUGUGUACAGAGAAGAAGAAUUUAUGUUCGGAAAAGUACACCCUCAUAUAACACCUUGAACCCUUACAGUAAUGCUUUGGUAAUUGUCAUUUUUUAUUAGCUUUAAUGCAGUUUUAAAUUAUGAGGUUUGUGAAAGUCUUCAUUUUUCCUGAUGUCAACAAAUCCCAUUAAAAUCAACUAACUACAAUGAAUCAAUCCUUCUAACAAGUAGUGUCUGUGUUUCCAAAGCAUGAAAUAUCUUAUUCCACUGUGCCAUGGAGCUCAUAUCUUGUGCAAAAACUAUUAAAAAUACAUCAGUGAGUCACACUGUUGCACUUGGUGUUCAUUACCACGAACAUGGGCACUGUAGUUUAUUUUGUAAAUUCUGUGUACUUCAUCCUGGUGAUAUGAUAAAGGACUAAAACGCCA